rnacentral:lncRNA from 1 species
CCGAGGGUGCUGGUGACCUGAGAAGAAGGGAGGGGACAGAGGAGGAGACACACCUGAUCAGCCCGGGAGACUUUGGAGGAGGCGGGCCGGCCGGGAGGAAGUGGCGGGGAGGAGGGACCGGAGCACCCCAGGAUCGAAGAGGGCGCACGGGCCCGGCCCUCCCACGCGCCCUCCAGGGACCCGGCAGCCAGACAGACGGACAGGCGGACCGCUAGGGAGCUCAAGUACCCGGACACACGCACGAGCGCAGAACAAAGGGCCGGACAUGCUCCAGCCCGCUCCGCCUGCGCCUCGGCCUUGCGCGCGGGGGCCCGGGUUACCUGCGCAGUGCCCUUGGUGUGGUGGAAGCAAGGUGCCAUGUGAUAAGUAAGCCUCCAGAGAGGCCUGCAUGGCAGGAUCCAAUGUCUUUAGCCAACAGCAUCUGGGAACCUGAGACCUGCCAACACCCUUGUGAGUGAGCCUGGAAGUGGACCUCCUGCUCUUGAACCUUGAGGUGACUAUAGUGCUGGCUGACACCUUGACUGCAGUCCCUGAGCUGGGGGGCCCAGCUGAUCUACUCCCAGA